rfam:Papilio machaon contig33521, whole genome shotgun sequence.
UCCUAAUGAUGACUUGCCAUGCUAAUACCGAGAAAGUUUGAGACUUUCACUGAGUUCAAAGAAUCUUUUUCUGAACAAUUAAAAAAC